UAUAUACUCCUUCCGUUCGGAAUUACUUGUCACAAAAAUGGAUGUAUUUACAACUAAAAUACAUCUAGAUACAUUAAUUUCUUGGACGAGUAAUUCCGAACGGAGGGAGUACUAG
rnacentral:pre_miRNA from 1 species